rnacentral:rRNA from 1 species
GACAGAGGCCUCAAGCGUUAGGCGGAAUCACUGGGCUUAAAGCGUGUGUAGGCGGAUCGUUAAGUGCCUUGUGAAAUCCCACGGCUUAACUGUGGAACGGCUGGGCAUACUGGCGGUCUUGAGCCAUCUAGGGGCGACUGGAACAAACGGUGGAGCGGUGAAAUGCGUAGAUAUCUGCAGGAACACCCGUGGCGAAAGCGGCGCGCUGGACCACUACUGACGCUGAGGAACGAAAGCUAGGGGAGCAAACAGG